AGAAGCCAGGCAACAGCAUUAUGCCCUCUCUGAGCCCUCCCCCACACAGAGCCAGAAAGCGGUGAAAUGGGUUGCCUGAACCUGGAAAUAAGAUAAGG